rnacentral:rRNA from 1 species
UACGGGGGGGGCAAGCGUUGUUCGGAAUUACUGGGCGUAAAGGGCUCGUAGGCGGCCAACUAAGUCGGAUGUGAAAUCCCCAGGCUUAACCUGGGAACUGCAUCUGAUACUGGAUGGCUUGAAUUCGGGAGAGGGAUGCAGAAUUCCAGGUGUAGCGGUGAAAUGCGUAGAUAUCUGGAGGAAUACCGGUGGCGAAGGCGGCAUCCUGGACCGACAUUGACGCUGAGGAGCGAAAGCUAGGGGAGCAAACGGG